UGGGGAAUAUUGGACAAUGGGCGAAAGCCUGAUCCAGCCAUGCCGCGUGAGUGAUGAAGGCCCUAGGGUUGUAAAGCUCUUUUGUGCGGGAAGAUAAUGACGGUACCGCAAGAAUAAGCCCCGGCUAACUUCGUGCCAGCAGCCGCGGUAAUACGAAGGGUGCAAGCGUUACUCGGAAUUACUGGGCGUAAAGCGUGCGUAGGUGGUUCGUUAAGUCUGAUGUGAAAGCCCUGGGCUCAACCUGGGAAUGGCAUUGGAAACUGGCGGACUGGAGUGCGGUAGAGGGUAGCGGAAUUCCCGGUGUAGCAGUGAAAUGCGUAGAGAUCGGGAGGAACAUCCGUGGCGAAGGCGGCUACCUGGACCAGCACUGACACUGAGGCACGAAAGCGUGGGGAGCAAACA
rnacentral:rRNA from 1 species